rnacentral:rRNA from 1 species
UGGGGAAUUUUGGACAAUGGGCGCAAGCCUGAUCCAGCAAUGCCGCGUGAGUGAAGAAGGCCUUCGGGUUGUAAAGCUCUUUCAGUCGAGAAGAAAAGGUUACGGUAAAUAAUCGUGACUCAUGACGGUAUCGACAGAAGAAGCACCGGCUAACUACGUGCCAGCAGCCGCGGUAAUACGUAGGGUGCAAGCGUUAAUCGGAAUUACUGGGCGUAAAGGGUGCGCAGGCGGCUUUGUAAGUCAGAUGUGAAAUCCCCGGGCUUAACCUGGGAAUUGCGUUUGAAACUACAAGGCUAGAGUGUGGCAGAGGGAGGUGGAAUUCCAUGUGUAGCAGUGAAAUGCGUAGAGAUAUGGAAGAACAUCGAUGGCGAAGGCAGCCUCCUGGGUUAACACUGACGCUCAUGCACGAAAGCGUGGGGAGCAAACAGGAUUAGAUACCCUGGUAGUCCACGCCCUAAACGAUGUCAACUAGUUGUUGGGCCUUAUUAGGCUUGGUAACGAAGCUAACGCGUGAAGUGACC